GAUGAACGCUGGCGGUAUGCUUAACACAUGCAAGUCGAACGGAAUGCUUCGGCAUUUAGUGGCGGACGGGUGAGUAACGCGUGAGAACAUGCCUUUAGGACUGGGACAACAGUUGGAAACGACUGCUAAUACCGGAUGUGCCCUUCGGGGUGAAAGAUUCAUUGUCUAAAGAUUGGCUCGCGUCAGAUUAGGUAGUUGGAGUGGUAACGGCACACCAAGCCUGCGAUCUGUACUUGGUCUGAGAGGAUGACCAGGCACACUGGAACUGAGACACGGUCCAGACUCCUACGGGAGGCAGCAGUGGGGAAUUUUCCGCAAUGGGCGCAAGCCUGACGGAGCAAUACCGCGUGAGGGAGGACGGCUUUUGGGUUGUAAACCUCUUUUAUCAGGGAAGAAAAGAUGACGGUACCUGAUGAAUCAGCAUCGGCUAACUCCGUGCCAGCAGCCGCGGUAAUACGGAGGAUGCAAGCGUUAUCCGGAAUUAUUGGGCGUAAAGCGUCCGUAGGUGGCUUAGUAAGUCUGUUGUCAAAGCGUGCGGCUCAACCGCAUACGGGCAAUGGAAACUAUAGAGCUAGAGUGCGAUAGGGGUCACAGGAAUUCCCAGUGUAGCGGUGAAAUGCGUAGAUAUUGGGAAGAACACCAGCGGCGAAAGCGUGUGACUGGGUCUGCACUGACACUGAGGGACGAAAGCUAGGGGAGCGAAAGGGAUUAGAUACCCCUGUAGUCCUAGCCGUAAACGAUGACAACUAGGUGUGGUUCGUAUCGACCCGAGCCGUGCCGUAGCCAACGCGUUAAGUUGUCCGCCUGGGGAGUACGCACGCAAGUGUGAAACUCAAAGGAAUUGACGGGGGCCCGCACAAGCGGUGGAGUAUGUGGUUUAAUUCGAUGCAACGCGAAGAACCUUACCAAGGCUUGACAUCCUCGGAAUCCUCUUGAAAGGGAGGAGUGCCUUCGGGAGCCGAGAGACAGGUGGUGCAUGGCUGUCGUCAGCUCGUGUCGUGAGAUGUUGGGUUAAGUCCCGCAACGAGCGCAACCCACGUUUUUAGUUGCCAUCAUUCAGUUGGGCACUCUAGAGAGACUGCCGGUGACAAACCGGAGGAAGGUGUGGAUGACGUCAAGUCAGCAUGCCCCAUACGCCUUGGGCUACACACGUACUACAAUGCGUUGGACAAAGAGCAGCAAGCUAGCGAUAGCAAGCCAAUCUCAUAAACCAACGCUCAGUUCAGAUUGCAGGCUGCAACUCGCCUGCAUGAAGGCGGAAUCGCUAGUAAUCGCAGGUCAGCAUACUGCGGUGAAUACGUUCCCGGGCCU
rnacentral:rRNA from 1 species